AACCUCAAGAAAAGGGUCUUCCCCAAAUCUCACUCAUUUCAACAACACUUCAUCAUCUUCUUCAUCCCUCUAAUGGCGAAUCCCAAUCAGCAACAAACUUCAAUCCAGCCAUGGAUCCUCGAUGUCCUCCCCUUCAUCGUCGUCGUUCUCAUAGCCGCUCACGUGAUCGCUUUGGUUUACUGGAUAUACAGAUUAGCAACAGAGAAGCUACCCGGAAGAAGAAAGAAGCACUAGAACAAAGGUGUAGUGAUCAAAUUUAGUGUUAUAAGUUGUUAUAGUUGUAAUGUGUGUAUGAAAUUGAACUCUUGUUGGAUGCACGGAAGGUGCUCGACGAAAUGUUAUUGCUUGAAAUUGGAUCAGUGAUUUGAAGUUGAGUUAAAGGAAUUGUUUAUAUUUGUUGAUUUAA